rnacentral:rRNA from 1 species
CAGUCGAGGGGCAGCAUGGGGAGUACAAUACUCUCUGAUGGCGACCGGCUCAAGGGUGCGUAACGCGUGAGCAACUUGCCCUCAUCAGGGGAAUAAUCGCUGGAAACGGCGUCUAAUGCCCCAUGGUGAUGUCCUCAGGCAUCUGAGGUCAUCUAAAGAUCCGUCGGAUGGGGAUAGGCUCGCGUGACAUUAGCUAGACGGCGGGGUAACGGCCCACCGCGGCGACGAUGUCUAGGGGUUCUGAGAGGAAGGUCCCCCACACUGGAACUGAGACACGGUCCAGACUCCUACGGGAGGCAGCAGUGAGGAAUAUUGGUCAAUGGCCGGAAGGCUGAACCAGCCAUGCCGCGUGAAGGUCAGUGCCCUAUGGGCGUUAAACUUCUUUUGUGCGGGAGCAAUAAUGGUCACGUGUGGCCAGACGAGAGUACCGUACGAAUAAGCAUCGGCUAAUUCCGUGCCAGCAGCCGCGGUAAUACGGGGGAUGCAAGCGUUAUCCGGAUUUAUUGGGUUUAAAGGGUGCGUAGGCUGUGAGGUAAGUCAGCGGUGAAAUGCCCCCGCUCAACGGGGUGAAGUGCCAUUGAUACUGCCUUGCUGGAAUGCGGAUGCCGUGGGAGGAAUGUGUGGUGUAGCGGUGAAAUGCAUA